GCCUAACACAUGCAAGUCGAACGCGAAAGUCCCGCAAGGGAUCAGUAGAGUGGCAAACGGGUGAGUAACGCGUGGGUGACCUGCCUUCGAGCGGGGGAUAACGUCCCGAAAGGGACGCUAAUACCGCAUGACAUCCUGCCUUUGAAGAGGUGGAGAUCAAAGCCGGGGAUUCGCAAGAACCUGGCUCUUGAAGAGGGGCCCGCGUCUGAUUAGCUAGUUGGUGGGGUAAUGGCUCACCAAGGCAUCGAUCAGUAUCCGGCCUGAGAGGGCGGACGGACACACUGGGACUGAGACACGGCCCAGACUCCUACGGGAGGCAGCAGUGGGGAAUUGUUCGCAAUGGGCGCAAGCCUGACGACGCAACGCCGCGUGGAGGAUGAAGAUCUUCGGGUCGUAAACUCCUUUCGAUCGAGACGAAUGGCUUCCGGGUGAAUAAUCCGGGAGAGUGACGGUACUGUGAGAAUAAGGAUCGGCUAACUCCGUGCCAGCAGCCGCGGUAAUACGGAGGAUCCAAGCGUUAUCCGGAAUCAUUGGGUUUAAAGGGUCCGUAGGCGGUUUAGUAAGUCAGUGGUGAAAGCCCAUCGCUCAACGGUGGAACGGCCAUUGAUACUGCUAGACUUGAAUUAUUAGGAAGUAACUAGAAUAUGUAGUGUAGCGGUGAAAUGCUUAGAGAUUACAUGGAAUACCAAUUGCGAAGGCAGGUUACUACUAAUGGAUUGACGCU
rnacentral:rRNA from 1 species